rnacentral:lncRNA from 13 species
CUCUUUCUCUCUCUAGCUCUCUCUCUCUCUUUAUCACUCUUUAUCUCUCUCUAUCUCCCUCUCCCUCUCUCUCUCUCUCUCAAUUCAGUUCAAUUCAAAGGGCUUUGUUGGCAUGGGAAACAUGUUUACAUUGCCAAAGAAAGUGAAAUGGAUAGAAAACAAUUACAAAUCUACAGUAAACAUUACGUCUCUCUCUCUCUUUCUCUCAGUUGGAGGGGUUGUGUAGAGGUGAGGACCUUGACCCUACAGAGGUAAAGGAGUUGUCUGUUUCUCAGAUCAAAUCUGUCUCCGCCCUAUCGGACCUGGUCCAGAAAUUCCCACCAAAUGAGAUACAGGCUGAAGGAACCUCCAUCCCCCUCCAUCUGACUGCCACUCACCUGCUGGUUAGCGCCUUGGAGGCGUUGCCUGAUGCUGCUCUGACUCUGCUGGGAGAAUCUAGCCCUGAUGUCCUGGAAGCCCUCAAUACUCUGGUUAGUCCGAUUCAAUUCACUAUAUGAUUCACCCGUCACUAUACAUGACUCACCAUUCACUACUGAAACCCUCAAUACUCGGAUCAGUCUGAUUCAAUUCACUAUAAUAUUCCCGAGUCACUUUAUAUGAUUUUGCGAUUCACGACUCCUGAUUCAUAUCAACUAAACCACUCCAUCACAAAUAAAAUACUUUGAAUACUCUGAUCCAAUAUUAGUUCAUAACUGUGUUAUACAGACAGUAGUCAGGAUGAAUUAUACUGUAGACUGAUCCAAUAUUAGUUCAUAACUGUGUUAUACAGACAGUAGUCAGGAUGAAUUAUACUGUAGACUGAUCCAAUAUUAGUUCAUAACUGUGUUAUACAGACAGUAGUCAGGAUGAAUUAUACUGUAGACUGAUCCAAUAUUAGUUCAUAACUGUGUUAUACAGACAGUAGUCAGGAUGAAUUAUACUGUAGACUGAUCCAAUAUUAGUUCAUAACUGUGUUAUACAGACAGUAGUCAGGAUGAAUUAUACUNNNNNNNNNNNNNNACAUUGGGGACAUUUUCACGCACAGAAUCAGACUGAGAGGAAUUUCUCUGUUAGCAUCCUACAGUGGUCUAUUCCUCAUAUUGUGACUGACGUGUCAUGAGAAAAGUAAGCCUGAGAGGCAAGCUCUGAUUGGUUAUUUAUCUCCCUCUACAGACUUGCAGGACUUGGAGGUCUAUCUACAUCAGUUAGUGGUUCUUCCAGAGUCUACCCGGUCCACUCUGUUCCAGAGACUCUGUGAGGUUCUAGUGGACAGA